AUCGAACGCUGGCGGCAGGCCUAACACAUGCAAGUCGAGCGGAGCGGCGGACGGGUGAGUAAUGCCCAGGAAUCUGCCUGGUAGUGGGGGAUAACGUACGGAAACGGGCGCUAAUACCGCAUACUAUCAGAUGAGCGUAGGUCUGCUUAGCUAGUUGGUGGGGUAAAGGCUUACCAAGGCGACGAUCCGUAACUGGUCUGAGAGGAUGAUCAGCCACACUGUAACUGAGACACGGUCCAGACGCCUACGUGAGGCAACAGUGGGGAAAAUUGGACAAUGAGCGAAAGCCUGAUGCAGCGGCGCCGCGUAGGGGAUGAAGGCUUUCGGGUUGUAAACCUCUUUCGCUAGCGAACGGGUAGGUGGAGAAGAAGCGCCGGCUAACUACGUGCCAGCAGCCGCGGUAAUUC
rnacentral:rRNA from 1 species